UCCAAUUACAUUUACAUGCCAUGCAUAUUCAUACAAUAUCCUCCAAUAUCAAGUUUGGAUUCAUUUAUCCUUCCAACCAAUCCAUUAAACCAAAUUGAGCCAUAGACAUAAAUAAUCAUCAAUUCAAUAGUAUAUCACCAUAUUCACCUUCCAUAACUCAAUUACCAUAUCCACCUUCCACAAUUCAAUACAACCAAACCAUAUAAAAUAGUCCAUAACCCUAUUUCCAUCACUUUCAAUAACAACCAAUACAUAUAAU
rnacentral:lncRNA from 1 species